AGAGGCACCAACUCUUGGCUUCUAACUCCAGCUGUGACCCAGGGCUCUGGCACCUGGCCUCUGGACUCCAGCUCUGACCCUGGACUCUGAUUUCCUGGCUACUGACUCCUGCUCCAAUCUCUAGACAUGACCACCAUGUUCUGGUCACCAGCAGCUUGGACUUGAAAUGCUGAUACCUGUAGAAUGUAUUCAGUGGUGCGGUCAUGAUGAAAACUCCAGGAUGCUGAUGCUAUGAAAGGUCCGAAUUUUUGUCAUCUUUGCCUUUCUGGAUAUAUCACCUGAAAGUACAAUAUGUAGGUGUCCCCCGCAGGAAGCAGCAGGUAAGA